rnacentral:rRNA from 1 species
CGCCUUAGAGUUUGAUCCUGGCUCAGGACGAACGCUGGCGGCGUGCCUAACACAUGCAAGUCGAACGGCCCAGCACUUAACAGAGCAUAUAAGGGAAGUGGUUAGUGUAAAGCACAAUAGGUGCAUAUAAGCUAAGCAUUAACUCAUAUGCUGCGUUAAGUGCUGGGUAGUGGCGGACGGGUGAGUAACGCGUGGGCAACCAACCCUGUACAGUGGGAUAACACCGGGAAACCGGUGCUAAUACCGCAUGACACCUAACCUAUGCAUAUAGGAUAGGUUAAAGGAUAAAACCGGUACAGGACGGGCCCGCGUCCCAUUAGCUAGUUGGUGAGGUAACGGCCCACCAAGGCGACGAUGGGUAGCCGACCUGAGAGGGUGAUCGGCCACACUGGGACUGAGACACGGCCCAGACUCCUACGGGAGGCAGCAGUGGGGAAUAUUGCGCAAUGGAGGAAACUCUGACGCAGCGACGCCGCGUGAGCGAAGAAGGCCUUCGGGUCGUAAAGCUCUGUUCUUGGGGACGAAAAAGAUGACGGUACCCAAGGAGAAAGCCCCGGCUAACUACGUGCCAGCAGCCGCGGUAAUACGUAGGGGGCGAGCGUUGUCCGGAAUUACUGGGCGUAAAGGGCGUGUAGGCGGCCAUGCAAGUCAAGUGUGAAAUGCCACGGCUUAACCGAGGCACUGCACAUGAAACUGUAUGGCUUGAGUGCAGGAGAGGGAAGUGGAAUUCCUAGUGUAGCGGUGAAAUGCGUAGAUAUUAGGAGGAACACCAGUGGCGAAGGCGACUUCCUGGACUGUAACUGACGCUGAGGCGCGAAAGCGUGGGUAGCAAACAGGAUUAGAUACCCUGGUAGUCCACGCUGUAAACGAUGGGUACUAGGUGUGGGUAGUUCACUCUAUCCGUGCCGCAGCAAACGCAAUAAGUACCCCGCCUGGGAG